UGAAGGUUGUGACAACGUUAGGGGAACGUUCUGGGAACCAAAUGUGCAACCAAAAACUAACAUUAGGUUUGGAAAACUUUCCAUAUCAACCACAGGAGAACCCAGGGAGAACCUUCAGGGAACGUCCCUGCAAAUAAAAGUGCUCACUGUUCAGACUCGUGCAUGGAGGACCAAAGGACUCAGAGGAAGAUACUGACCAUCAACCAUCAACCAUCAACCACCUACCAGCAGGAGUAUGAGAGUAUAUGAGAGUGAGGAACAGAACUCAACAACCAUCAACCACAAACUCAGAUGCAGCAGAAGCCACUUAAUGAAUGCAAAAGCUCUGAUCGGCCAACUGAACACCAACUGCCCACAGUGCCAGAAAAAAGAACACCAGAAAAGAGACACAAAAGAUCCGAAAUAAGAAAAAUCAUACCAGGAAAACCUAAAAUCAGCAUCCUGAGGGGAGCGACCGGACGGCAUGGGUGUGGUUGACUCGUCAGAUCUGCCCAGAA